rnacentral:rRNA from 1 species
GAUGAACGCUGGCGGCGUGCCUAAUACAUGCAAGUCGAGCGAACGGACGAGAAGCUUGCUUCUCUGAUGUUAGCGGCGGACGGGUGAGUAACACGUGGAUAACCUACCUAUAAGACUGGGAUAACUUCGGGAGACCGGAUCUAAUACCGGAUAAUAUUUUGAACCGCAUGGUUCAAAAGUGAAAGACGGUCUUGCUGUCACUUAUAGCUGGAUCCGCGCUGCAUUAGCUAGUUGGUAAGGUAACGGCUUACCAAGGCAACGAUGCAUAGCCGACCUGAGAGGGUGAUCAGCCACACUGGAACUGAGACACGGUCCAGACUCCUACGGGAGGCAGCAGUAGGGAAUCUUCCACAAUGGGCGAAAGCCUGACGGAGCAACGCCGCGUGAGUGAUGAAGGUCUUCGGAUCGUAAAGCUCUGUUAUUAGGAAAGAACAUAUGUGUAAGUAACUGUGGACAUCUUGACGGUACCUAAUCAGAAAGCCACGGCUAACUACGUG